GACGUAGGGUGCAAGCGUUGUCCGGAUUUAUUGGGCGUAAAGAGCUCGUAGGCGGCUUGUUGCGUCGACUGUGAAAACCCGCGGCUUAACCGCGGGCUUGCAGUUGAUACGGGCAGGCUAGAGUUCGGUAGGGGAGACUGGAAUUCCUGGUGUAGCGGUGAAAUGCGCAGAUAUCAGGAGGAACACCGGUGGCGAAGGCGGGUCUCUGGGCCGAUACUGACGCUGAGGAGCGAAAGCGUGGGGAGCGAAUGGG
rnacentral:rRNA from 1 species